rnacentral:lncRNA from 1 species
CUCGACAACUGGCCUCUGUAGUUCAGUUGGUUAAAGCACUGCACCGGAAUAGCAGGGCUGCAGGUUUGAUUCCUGCCAGAGGACCUCUAGUUGUAUUUUGUUAAGUUUAAUAAAUGUAUAAAAUUCACACUAGAAAUUUCCAUCUACAAAAUCCUCCCACAAUUUAUUUUAACAACGAUUUUGUAGUAGCAAGUACGUAAAAAUGUGUCAAUUUCCACCCUAAAUACUCGUAACUUCAACGUUUUGCAAAUUUUCUACCAAUGCUUGAUUUAGAAACAAUAACACACGAAUGUAGUGAAUCAACCCAAUAUUGGUGAAUUUCAGUAAGUGCGAUGAGGAAGCAGCUAGUGUUCAUCAAAGGAACCGCAAACAAAUAAAGGAGCAUGAAAAUUCAACAAGUGAAUCUCUCAAUUCUUUUUGAAUUAAAAUUAUUUCCACACUCUCAUAACUGCUGAUUAACCACAAUCUGCUGCACAACAGUGCUUAGUGAAACCUACCUACACCGCCCUAUAAAAGGCUGUUAUGACAAUAAAUUUGCCAAAGUAGAGUUUAAUGGCAUUAAAUCUACACAUGGGAAAAAAGUUCAAACAUAUUGUCAACCUCAUCCCCCAACCCCGGUUUUGUUUGUGUUACUCCGGUCUCUUCACGCAUAAUUUCUUACCAUUUUGUAAUUGCGUGCAUGAAUUUAAUAUGACACAUGCACGUCAGUAUGUCACACACCUAUGUGGCCACGCCUGUGUUAACACCAUUACUCCGUUACUACGAGUAUUAUUCAUGGCCCUAAAUUCUUAACCGUAUUAAUACGGUUCUAUUAUGUGCACACAUCAGUCAUGUUGCAUGCAAUACGGGUGACACAAAUGAUCUACGAUAUCUCCACAAACAUAGAUAUAUCUAUCCUAUUGUCCUACAUAUCUACAUUAUAUUGGAUGAAACUCAGUGGAAUGACAGACAAUAGAGCAACUCUAUACAUGGGGCCAACAUAUAUAUCUAUCUUCACCUUAUCCCUGGCAUCCACUUGUGCACCAUUUUCUAACAAAUUAGCCACGACAUUAACAUUAACACCCCACAGAUAUCCCCGAAUGGCUGCGUAAUGAAGAGCCGUCUUUUCGUCCUACAAAAAAAAUAUACAAAUUUGAAAAGCCUUGACAGGCUUUAUUUCAACUGCAAUUUUGCAGUGAGAAACAGGACAGAAUAUGUUAAUCGGCAUGCACCCUUGAAACUCGAAACUUAAAUAUUUUCCAAAUUUUCUGCCAAUGGUUUGAUUUAAAAACAACAACACACCAAUGUAGUCAAUGUACCCCAUAUUGGUGGAUUUCAGUAAGUGUAAUGGGGCAGCAGAUGGUGUCAACUUCAGAAAGGUUAGCAUUCAUAUAUUGGAACAUGAAAUAUCUAACUAGUGGUAAAUUUCUCAAAUAUAUUGGAUUGACUGAACAUUAUUUUUUCACUGUGAUUGACCAUCAUACAUCUGCUGCAAGACAGUGCUUAGCGAAAGCUACAUAUAUUGCAAAUUUAUAUACCCCCCCCCCCAAAAAAAAAACUAUUGGUGUCCGCUACUUAUGCACUUGCAGUCAUUGACGCAAUUCUUGCACGAAAGAGAAAUCACUAAGAACUCUCUAGUCAGUCGUUUUCUACUUUAAGGAAGACAACAGUGAUAUUUAACUGCUCAAUGACACUCCAAAUUUGAAUAAGUCAGUUAUGCCGGCCAUAGGCAUUAUAGAUCAGUUAUGAAAAUAAACUAGUCAACUACACUCAACAUAACUAAAACCUUCUGCAAUUAGUUAUAUCGAGCGUAGACGCCCAAAAUCCUGAUAUUUAUA